GGUCUUCUGAUUGUAAAGUUCUUUUAUUUAGGAAAAAAGCGCGCCUUGAUGGUACUAAUUGAAU
rnacentral:rRNA from 1 species